CAGUCAAAGAAAAGAACUUCCGCCUCCCUGGAACCUUCCCCAGUUACGCCGGGCCUCAUGAUCCCUGGGUGCCCACUUGGGUGCUCGUUCUGGAUACCUCCCUUCUGAAGCGCCCAUUUCCAACACCUGAUGCAAGGGCAGCAGGCCUUUACCAGCCUGUGGUUUCGGGCACAUCCUUUAAACUCCCAGAACCUGAGGCUGCUGUAAGAUGAGGGUCAGAAACAGACUUGACUUGUAGGUGUUUAAACCACACAAUACACAGAUUAAGAUGGCCUUCCCAUCCUAACAGGGGGCUCUUCCGUCCCAGGGACUCUUCCCUUCCUUCUCCCUGCCUCAGGCUGACUACUUUCCCAGGGGCAGCAGGGUCUUCUCACCCCUGCACCCAACCCCUCAGGAGCAUCAAGGACACCAGCUCCUUCAUUUGCUGAUCUUUCUCUAAUUCUUGAAGCCCUGGAUAAUGUCUUGCAUGUGGACAUAUUUUUAUAAUUACAGCUACCCCAGUAAAGUGUUUCAGAGACUAACAUCUUGGGAAAAGGUGCAUAAAGUUCUGUGUCUGUGUUGUCCAUGUUUUCCACAAUGAACGUGUACUUCUUUUAUAAAAUCAGUAAGAUCAUCACAUGAUAUAUGGAAAAUCCUAAUAAUAACCUCUCGUGACAUAUAUUUUCUCACUCACUUCAUGGCUGCUCUAGUGAGGAAGCAAUUAUUACUCCCAUAUUGCAGAUGGAAAAACUGAGGCUUGUUGAGGUUAAGUGGCAAGCAAGAAUUCAACCCUGGGAUGGAGUAUAGAGUUGAAGCUUGUUUGUGGUGCUACCACACACCGCCUCUGACCUUGCAUCCGGAGAAAGUCAAGGUCCAGACAUCAAGAUUCAGCCUCACAAGGCCAAAUGCAGGCUGAAGAGGAAAACUAACCAGAAAAACCCAGACAGUCAAGGAAAAGAAAUUCAGUCUUCAAGGCCAAACACAGACUGGUGGGAAGAUGACAACCAGCAAGGCCACAUCCUCCCCCUUCCCUACCUAAAACCCCAGCACAUGCUCUCCCUCUCCUACCUAAAACCCCAGACAAAAAAGCCCUGCCUUUUUCCCCUCGAGGAGGAGGAUCUGAGUUCUGACUCCCAUCUCCUCAUCUGGCUGCCUUUCGAUAGUAAACCUCUUUCCUUGCCACAA
rnacentral:lncRNA from 1 species